ACUUGUUCGUUCAACAAUUAAAUAUUGUAAUGUCGUUGCUGGAUGCUUUUUUUCUACUAUUACUCCUUAGAUUAACAUGUGUGAUUGUUGUGAUAUUUAUUAGAGUGGAAUUGUAAUUGUGUAUACAACUGCUGGAACUUAAAUCAUUUGCUUCAAUUCGAUCGAUUGCUUUACUCAGAAGAGGGCGUAUUAUGCUUUUUUUAAACAAACAGAAUUCAUCCUAGUAUUGCAAUUUAAAUAUAAAUGGGUGAUUAUACUGCAAGACUUUCAAUUCGGAAUUUUCUCAUUGUGUUAGUGGUGAAAACAUCAUUACUCAGUCUGGUGAAUGCAAAGAUAUCUACACCUUUACAAUUCGAGAACAAUACACAAAGUUUUCAUUUGACAGCUGAUGCACCGAAAGCUAUUGCAUGGAUAAAUCCAUUUUAUAUGGACGCGACCGUGUUUUUCAACAACGUUGAGGUGGGAACCUGCGAUGUGUACAGAGGGCACAGCUAUGUCUUGAGUGAUGAAAUUCUAUCUCGUGUUUCAAUAAAUAUCACAAAUGGACAUUGCCAAUUAAACAUUUUCCGUACUUCUUGUGAGGACAGAUCUAUUGCGGUUAAACUUACAGGGGCAUCUCAUGUAAUUAACGCUUCUCUUAUUGUUGACGGAUGCGACUCCAAACCAGACCACACCUCUAUAGGUGGCAGGAUCACCGGUAGUGUCAAAGAGAGCAUUGUUUUCGGUUGUGUCAUUGGUAUUUACAAUGUUAGUGAAACGCUGUUACCAUUUUCGUGCUUUUUUCAGCACGUUUUGAAUUUGUUCUUUGCAAUGUGCAAUUCUAUAUCCGAGGUCGUUUGGAUUUUUUUUCAAGAUUUUAAUAUAUAUGUUUUUCCCACGUUUAUAUAUAGAUGCUUGGCUUGUAAAACAUGUAAAUAAUUAUGAGUGAAAUUAAUGUUUCUAUAACAAUGGCGACUUUGUACUUUUAUCAUUUGUAUUUGUUCGCAAAUUUAUUCAUUCGUGUAUAUUUGUUAACUAUAUAUAUAUGCUCAUUUUCAAAUGUGAGGGCUAUGAACCUGUAUAGGCUUUAUAGAUAAAUAAAUGUAUGUUGUUGUUGUUGUAUACUCACAUAUAUAUAAAAAAAAAAUUUCAUUUUCAUAUGUGAGCGUUAUGAACUUGUAUAUGCUUUAUUGAUGAAUACAUGUUGUUGUUUGUUGUAUUCUUGCAUAUAUUAAAUUAAUGCUCAUUUUCAUAUGUGAGGGCUAUGAACUCGUAUUAGCUUCAUUGAUGAAUUGAUGUUGUUGUUGUACAUAUCUCAUAACAUACACAAAAACAAUUGUAUUAUAAUAUGACGAAACAAUGCAGUAUGUAAUUUACUGAAAUGUUUAAAGUAAUUUAUUUAAAAUAUUCCACGUAGAUAAGAUUCUUAAAAUUGUAAUUACAGACACACCCACAUAUAACAUUCGUAUUCACAAAUGUUAGUGAAAAUUCUUCCAAUCGUCUGUCUUGUAAGUAAUUAGUAAAUAUAAGAUGUGCAGUUGCAAUAUCAGAUGCAAUUAUGUAUUCCCUUCAUAACUAACCAUGUUAACCAGUUCAUAACACUAUCGUCCAAUUUCUAUCUUCUACCAUUACUUAUAAAUUGUAUAAUGCAUAUAUAAUGUAGGCUAUGAGCUUGUAUAAGCUUUACUGCUGAAUAAAUGUUGUUGUUGU